GAAUAACUUCUUAAAGAAGUUACCCUUCUUUAGUUAAGAACUCACUGUGAUGUUAUGUAAAAAGAAUUUGUCUAACAUUCAGAAGGUCUGAGUUUGGGUUACACAGUUAGUAAAUAGUGGUCCACUAAUUCUUUUUUUUCUUUCUUUCUGAGACGGAGUUUCGCUCUGUCUCCCAGGCUGCAGUGCGGUGGCGCGAUCUCGGCUCACUGCAAACUCCGCCUCCCGGGUUCACGCCAUUUUCCUGCCUCAGCCUCCUGAGUAGCUGGGACUACAGGCGCCCGCCACCACGCCCGGCUAAUUUUUUGUAUUUUUAGUAGAGACAGGGUUUUACCGUGUUCGCCAAGAUGGUCUCGAUCUCCUGACCUCUUCGUCCGCCCGCCUUGGCCUCCCAAAGUGCUGGGAUUAGAGGCGUGAGCCACCGCGCCCGGCCGGUCCACUAAUUCUUUUAAACUCUGUAAGGCAUUUUUUUUUCCUGUUUAAAUAUAUAUCGACAUUAGAUAGCUUUGGCUGUGGCAAAGAGGACCUGCUAUUGUAGGUCUGUGGGCUGGCAGUGACUGGGCGGGGCUCAUCUGAGAUUGGCGGGGCUCGGCUCUGUGCCAUGUACUGUCUCAUUCCGGAACAUGGACGGAAGGCGGGGUCGCUGUUGGGCAUGCUGUUCUCAGGAGGGCAAGCAAAGCUCUGGGGCACUGCUUCUGAAAGCCUCUGCUCACAAUCGGCAGCUGACACCUGCAGACAAUCUCCACUGUUGCAAAUUAUUCUCUGAAGGACAUACUUAAAACUAAAAGAUGUUGGAUCUCCAAUAUGAAUUUGUGGGAUGUCUGGACACAGACAGAUACACAGGAAGAACAUCACAUAAACAAGAAGACAGAGAUUGGGGUAAUGUUUCUACAAGUCAAGGAUUAACAAAGAUUGCCUGCAAACCACAGAAACCAGGAAAGAGGCCUCAAAGAGAUUCUCACUCACACCCUCAGGAGGAACCAACCUUGCUGACCUUAAUCUCGGACUUCUGGUCUCCCGAAUUGUGAGAAAAUAAAUUUCUGUUGUUUCAGCAAUUCAGUGUAUGGUACUUUGUUACAGGAGCCCUAACACAACAUGAACGACUGAAUCUGCAGAAAUUUAAUUCUGUUUUCGGAUCUAAACACUGGAAAAUUGAACAAAGGUAGAAGAUUCAGAGGCCACAAAGGCAGUGGAACACUUUGAGUAAAGAGCGUGGGCAUCGAAAUUGAAUAUUCCUUCUAUUUUCUGGAAAAACAAAACAAAACAGGAACUGUAGGUCACACUUGUGUCCGUAUGUUGGUAGUUUUAAGAAAAAGGGCUUGGGUAAAGAGUUUCUCUGAGAUUUCUGACUUUUCCAUUGAUUAUAACCAUUUCCCAUAGCUACUUAUAAGUCAUGGGCUCCUAUGCCUGACAAAAUGUAUUAAAAUAUUCAAAGUAAAAAUAAU
rnacentral:lncRNA from 1 species